rnacentral:sRNA from 1 species
AGACGCCUCUGCCCCCUCUACACACACACACACACACGCGCACACACGCACAAACACCAAGCUGAGCUGCCUGUUGAUGUGUCCUCCUGAGGCUGGGACUUGCUGGUCUCUGAGGAAUGCAUGGUCUGGCCCUGAUGUGUGCUGUGUCUACUGGCUGAACCUUAGCCGGCCGAUCGAGGAGCAGGGCCCCCUGGACGUCAUCAUCCACAAGCUGACCGACGUCAUCCUUGAAGCCGACCAGAAUGAUAGCCAGUCCCUGGAGCUGGUGCACAGGUUCCAGGAGUACAUCGAUGCCCACCCUGAGACCAUCGUCCUGGACCCGCUCCCUGCCAUCAGAACCUUGCUUGACCGUUCCAAGUCCUACGAGCUCAUCCGCAAGAUUGAGGCCUACAUGGAAGACGACAGGAUCUGCUCGCCACCCUUCAUGGAGCUCACGAGCCUGUGCGGGGAUGACGCCAUGCAGCUGCUGGAGAAGAACGGCUUGGCUUUCCCAUUCAUUUGCAAAACCAGAGUGGCUCAUGGCACCAACUCUCACGAGAUGGCUAUCGUGUUCAACCAGGAGGGCCUGAACGCCAUCCAGCCACCCUGCGUGGUCCAGAAUUUCAUCAACCACAAUGCCGUCCUGUACAAGGUGUUCGUGGUUGGCGAGUCCUACACCGUGGUCCAGAGGC